rnacentral:rRNA from 1 species
AUUGAACGCUGGCGGCAGGCCUAACACAUGCAAGUCGAACGAGUGGCGGACGGGUGAGUAAUGUCUGGGAAACUGCCUGCUGGAGGGGGAUAACUACUGGAAACGGUAGUUAAUACCGCAUACCAUCGGAUGUGCCCAGAUGGGAUUGGCUAGUCGGUGGGGUAACGGCUCACCUAGGCGACGAUCCCUAGCUGGUCUGAGAGGAUGACCGACCACACUGGAACUGAGACAUGGCCCAGACUCCUACGGGAGGCAGCAGGGGGGAAUAGUGCACAAUGGGCGCAAGCCUGAUGCAGCCAUGCCGCGUGUAGGAAGAAGGCCUUCGGGUUGUAAAGUACUUUCAGCGGGGAGGCGUUACCCGCAGAAGAAGCACCGGCUAACUCCGUGCCAGCAGCCGCGGUAAUAC